rnacentral:misc_RNA from 1 species
ACAAAUAUGUCAGCGCCCAUGGAAGGAAGACGGGAAUAGACUCUUCGAUCUUAAUUCCUUUGUAUGAUAUGCUUCUUGCAGAAGACUUUAUCAAGUUUUAAACAAAUUUUCGUAGUAUAAUAAACAAUGGCAGACAACAAAGCAAAAAAUGACUCAGAUGCAGAGAUGGAGACCUCAAUGCCCCUCCCCCAAGUAACUGAGUCCCAGAAAGAACUGGCCUCCCAGGCUAUGUCAGAGUUUGACAAGAAGCAGUAUGGCUCGUGCUGCAGUUUGAUGCACAAGCUAAUUGCCCAAAGACCCACAGACCCAAAAGUUGCCCACAACAAGGCAGUAGCAGAAUUUUUUCAAAGUGGAUUCCUGACCACUGAUGAAUUCAGGCAGCAACUGUCCAAAGUCUGUCAAAUGGCUCAUGUCAACAUAGACAACAGUGAAAGCCUGGAAGAUGUUGACCACAGUGUUAUUUACUUCAACCAAGCAGUCAUUCUCUAUCACUUACGUCAGUAUAAAGCCGCCCUCAACAUCCUAGACAAACUCUUCCAGUACAUAGAGCCACUAGAGGAGGCCUUGGCAAAGAAAGCUACAAUGCUGUUAGUAGAACUGUAUCUGUGUACAUAUCAGCCUGAGAAAGCUAUGGGUAUGGUGCACUAUGCAGAAAAGACUGUGUUCACUGCAGGGAAGAAUGCUGGAGAGAAAGAGAACAAGGAAGAUCAAGUGGACGAAGCCUGGAAACCAAAGAUUAGUUUGGUGUGUGCUAUUCGUACACUGGAUAUGCAGAUGGAAAUUGAUGUUUAUAUUUAACCAAUUGUCACAUUGCUAAUUUUGGAUGUAAAUUGCCAAAAUUGAAAUAGCCGAAAUGAAGCUGUGGUGUUCUUGUAUAUAGUAUUGCUUUAAUACAGCUUGUUUGUGUUUUACAGUACAAAACCCGCUGCUUACUGAUGAUGAAGUCCAUGAAGUCCUGCAAGAGAGAGAUCAAGUCACUGAUGAGCACCCAGGCCAUGAAUACAGCUGUGAUAUACCUGAAGAGUAACUUUGAACACUUGCGAGGGAAUCACAAGAAGGCCAUGAAGAUGCUGGGCUCAGUCAGCACCUCUGAUUUCACGGAGGCCGGGGAGUGUAUGCCAGUCAUGUAUAACAACAAUCUCGGCUGCAUACACUUCCAUCUCAGCAAGCAUCAUCUAGGGGCGUUCCACUUCCGUAAAGCUUUCCAGGAAAAUGAGAAUGCCAUCAAAGACAUCAAACGAGGAGCAGAGCACAAUAAGAAUCUUUCUGGUAAAACACUGAACUCCAUAGGCAUGAGCCGACAUUUUGAGUUGUUAUACAACAUGGGAAUUCAACUGUUGCAUUGUGGGAAGGCCAUGCCAGCAUUUGACUGUUUGGUUGAGGCAGUACAGGUUUUCAGGAGCAACCCUCGCCUGUGGCUGAGACUAGCAGAGUGCUGCAUAAUGGCAAAUAGACAGAAUAAUGAUGAAGACCGAAAGCUAGAAAAGAGGUUAGAGGUCAUUCAGGGAUCAGAUGGCAGUGGAAUUCACAGGAAGCUUAGACUGGGCCCGGGACUCAAAAAAGAUAAUCCAAGUCCAGGGACUCCAGCUAUCCCAGCAGCCACUCAUGAGUUUGCUGCGCUUUGUCUGAAGAAUGCGUUACACUUGCUGCCUGAAGAUCCGCUAACAGCGGAGAAAGUGCCCAUUGAAGACUCGGACACAGUAAAAAUCACCCCUGAGAUGGUCCUUGUUCCUGCCCCUCCUGGGAACCCCCUGAAGGCAGCUGAAGUGGCUAGCCUAAGGUUUGACAAUUUAAAUACAGUGUUCCUUUCAUCAAAAUGUCUAGAUUCCUCAAAUCCAGAUGGUAACAAGGGAUUAAAAGGGAAAAAGUAACCAUUUAUAAAUUCUAACACCACUAACAGUACUUGUAUCUUUUAAAGCCUUUUGUAAAGACUAUGAUUCCACUCACAUGAAACUAAAUUUUGAGACUGUCUUUUGUUGUUAAUUUUCAGGUGCUCUAUACUGGCAGCUAGUGCAUAUGUGGCACUUUGUCUGAAUGAUUACACACUAGCAUUGCUUCAUGCAGAAAACUUACUUAAACAGCCAAAACUGACAGGGGCCCAAAGAUACCUUGGUCAUCUUUACAUGGCUGAAGCUCAGGUAGCUAUGGACAAGAUUGCAGAUGCCAUCCAACUUCUGAACCCAGAGUUAGUGGUAGACAUCAGCCUGACACUGCCAGAAAACAAGACAGAGCAAGACAAAAGCGAGAGAGACCCAGAAGCAUCUGAAUCUAAAGGUUAUUUUUACCCCUGGUCACCCAAAGAUCUGACACGGGCAAAAGCCAUUGCCCAGUAUGACCUAGCCACUGCCCAUGCCAUUCGGGGGGAAUAUGACAAGGCAGGACAGAAUCUGGGAGAGAGUUCUAGCCGCAUUGGCACCCCACUGCCAGCACAGAUGUAUUUCCUGAAACUUUACCUAGAUUUGAUAGAAGGGAGAAGAAAUAUGGCUCAAGUUGUGAUCAAAGACCACUUUGGACAUGUAACACCUAACCGUGUGGAAAUGAAGAUGAACUCCAAGCCAGGAGUGCCCCGCCCUGAUACUGCAGUGUCAUGAUUCUGUGAACUACAUAUAUAUAAGCAUUGUGAAUAGAAUAAACAGCUAAAAUAGUGUAUCUGAUACAUGAAAUAAAAUUCAUUUCCUGCACUGAG